AAAGUUUGAUCCUGGCUCAUGSKCAUACUGGCGGGCGGCUUAWCAYAUGCAAGUCGAACGGGAUCCGUGUUACGGAGGUCUUUGGACCGAAGUGGCAUGGUGAGAGUGGCGGACGGGCGAGUAACGCGUGAGCAACCUGCCCUAUGCUGGGGGAUAACACCGGGAAACCGGUGCUAAUACCGCAUAAGACCACAGUGACGCAUGUCACAGUGGUAAAAGCUGAGGCGGCAUAGGAUGGGCUCGCGUCCGAUUAGCUAGUUGGUAGGGUAACGGCCUACCAAGGCGACGAUCGGUAGCCGGACUGAGAGGUUGGCCGGCCGCAUUGGGACUGAGACACGGCCCAGACUCCUACGGGAGGCAGCAGUGGGGAAUAUUGCGCAAUGGGGGAAACCCUGACGCAGCGACGCCGCGUGGAGGAAGAAGGCCUUUGGGUUGUAAACUCCUUUGAUCGGGGACGAAGAUGACGGUACCCGAAGAACAAGCCACGGCUAACUACGUGCCAGCAGCCGCGGUAAUACGUAGGUGGCGAGCGUUGUCCGGAAUUACUGGGUGUAAAGGGCGUGUAGGCGGGGUGCCAAGUCAGGUGUGAAAUACCGGGGCUUAACCUCGGGGGUGCAUCUGAAACUGGUGCUCUUGAGUGCCGGAGAGGAAAGCGGAAUUCCCAGUGUAGCGGUGAAAUGCGUASAUAUUGGGAGGAACACCAGUGGCGAAGGCGGCUUUCUGGACGGUAACUGACGCUGAGGGCGCRAAAGCGCGGGGAGCAAACAGGAUUAGAUACCCUGGUAGUCCACGCUGUAAACGAUGGAUACUAGGUGUAGGAGGUAUCGACCYCCUUCUGUGCCGUAGUUAACACAUAAGUAUCCYACCUGGGGAGUAYGGCCGCAAGCUGAACUCAAAGGAAUUGACGGGGCCCGCACAGCAGUGGAGCAUGUGGUUUAWAUCUAAGCACGCGAAGAUCUUACCAGGCCUUGACAUCCSCUGACGGAUGKAGAGAUAMAUCUUCUCCGCAGGACAGGGAAACAGGKGGUUGCAUGUUGUYGUCACUCUGUCUGGCAAGKUGGUAGUUCCGAACAGGCACCUGUGCCUAUGCCAMAAAAUAUGGCACYUAAAGAGMCKUCGGCCGRAAAUUCGAGAAWGGGGUGGGGGAUAAUUCA
rnacentral:rRNA from 1 species